UUGCUUUUCAUUUCAUACGAAAUACCAGCUUGUGAUAAUGAUUAUUGUGACUGUCAUUAACGUGGUUGUUGCCAUUCCUCUUGAUGUGAGCGAGAAUCAAAUCAAUAUCCACUGGCUUGACUACAAUGUAAAAAUGGACUACAUUUUGAGCUAGGUUGACCUUGCCCUUCAUUUUCAUAUUGGUUACACCUAUGACUGCAUUGUUGGAAAGAGCUCUGAAGGUAAGAAUCUCCCUGUACUGUUUUACACCUGUUGUAUCCUUCCUGUGCACGUGGUGAAUACACUUUGAAACUUGAAACUUCUUUCUGUUGUUGUAGACACAUUUAGUUGAAGUACAUUAUGAGAGAGAGACUAUUCUAAAUCAGCAUGAGAUAAGUUCCCUUCUUAUGUUUUUCAGACUGCCAUUGUGGACCUUAGAAAAGUCAGGAACCACUAUCAGAAAACCUGAUUCAUUCCAGACCCUCUGGCUGUGGCACAAGUGGAUUACUGUCUAAUGACCAGUGGGACCUGGCUGGAGUUCAAAUGACAUGUCUGAUCAAAAUGACUACGGUGUUCAGCCUGUUGCACCUGCUUGGAUUCUCUACGCUACUAUGAUAUGUUCACAACUAUGGAGGCCCAUUGAUUGACUGUGUCAUGUAGCAGUGCUCUAGUUCAGGCACAUGCACCUCUCCAUCCUACUGAUGUGUCAUUAGAACGCCUGUUUUCAGUUCCUGGUGGCCACCCUCAGAACAGCUGGGUCACCCUCAGAACAGCUGGGUCACCCUCAUGGACUGCCACCCUCAGAACAGCUGGGUCACCCUCAUGGACUGCCACCCUCACAACAGCUGGGUCACCCUCAUGGACUGCCACCCUCACAACAGCUGGGUCA